rnacentral:rRNA from 1 species
CACGUAGGGUGCGAGCGUUGUCCGGAAUUAUUGGGCGUAAAGAUCUCGUAGGCGGUGUGUCGCGUCGGCCGUGAAAACCUGCAGCUUAACUGUGGGCGUGCGGUCGAUACGGGCAUCACUGGAGUUCGGCAGGGGAGACUGGAAUUCCUGGUGUAGCGGUGAAAUGCGCAGAUAUCAGGAGGAACACCGGUGGCGAAGGCGGGUCUCUGGGCCGAUACUGACGCUGAGGAGCGAAAGCGUGGGGAUCAAACAGG